CUGUACCCUUAGCACGAACAUUUCAUCGUUUCCGUAUUUCAUUACUACACGUUAACUUUGAACGUAUUGAAAUGGCAGCAUAAGCCUUCGUCGUGUGCCGGUCGUUACAACGUUACCAGAGUUAAAAUAAGGUUGUACCACACUGAGAUUGUUAAGUUCAAAACCUUCAUAAUAAUUUCAAAGUAAGCAGCGAUUCCUUAUAAACGCACUUUAACAAUUGUCUAUGGAUGAUAACUAUGAUUUGAACGCACAUCCUAACUUUUUUUUUUUGACAUUUGUCAUCCGUCAUCUGUCAAAUUAUCAAUCUAUUGACACUGACAGGUCGGCUUUCAUAAUUAUUUGUUAAAUUUAUUUAUUGUUUUAUUGAAUUCAACGCAGUGAUAUUUGCCUACGGAUACCAACGCCAAGGCCCACGGAUGGAGAGGUCGCCAGUGGUGCCUUAAUAAGUGGAAGGAACUAGCCAAGCUCAAUAGCGAAGGGACGGGACAAGGAGUGAUAAGCAAAGGAGAAAAUUAAACAUGAAACAUAACAUUAAACAUAAAAGGUUGUCAUGACAGAUUAUCCCCUCGUCUCUCAAUGAUUUCCUAAUACCUAGGUAUGGAGUGAUUAUAAGAAUAAUACAAAGA